rnacentral:rRNA from 1 species
UACAGAGGGGGCAAGCGUUGUUCGGAAUUACUGGGCGUAAAGGGCGCGUAGGCGGCCUUCUAAGUCGAACGUGAAAUCCCCGGGCUCAACCCGGGAACUGCGUCCGAUACUGGAAGGCUUGAAUCCGGGAGAGGGAUGCGGAAUUCCUGGUGUAGCGGUGAAAUGCGCAGAUAUCAGGAGGAACACCUAUUGCGAAGGCAGCUCGCUGGGACGUAACUGACGCUGAGACGCGAAAGCGUGGGGAGCAAACAGG